GAGAAAGAGAAAGAAAAAAAAAAGGGUUUUGCAGAAAUUUUUCGGAAAAAACAAGCAGGCCGACCCAUGGUCUUAGAGCUCGAUUUUCUCUUUUGAUACAGUUCCGUUGGGAGAGAUCUUAAUUUUUGGGUAAUCUAGGAUCUUAGUAGAAGAAGUUUCAUUUAGAAAGAUUUCAAAAAAAAAUGCUGCAAUCCCUUCGAAUUGAGGCUUGAACUUGCUGCAGUCACAAUUCUUGAACAUUCUUGACGAAAGUUGCUUUCUAUUGUUUCAGUUCUUAUAUCUGUUCUCCUUGAGGUUUACCGCGCUUGUUUGACUCCACAAAGCAUCAGAGUGCUGGAUGAGGCUGUAGGAUGUGUUUUGGGACAACAUGAUGAUUCUGGGAAGAAGGAACAAGCCGUCUAUUACCUCAGUGAUCCUUUCUGAAUUUGAUAUCAUUUUCACUACAUAUAAAGCAAUCAAGGGGCAAGUUAUAGCAGAUCAUUUGACCAAAAAUUUGAAGAAAGAUGAUUACCAGCCAUUACAUACCUAUUUUCCUGAUAAGGAGAUCUUAUUUAUUGGCAUAUCGAAAGAUAUGAAUGAAUAAUGCUCUGGGUGGAGACUGUUCUUUGAUGGUACAUUAUCCUGCUGUGACUAAGUUACAAUUUUAUUGCACCAACAACAUAGCUAAGUACAAAGUUUGCAUUUUUGGUUUUAAAAUGGUAUUGAAAAUGAAGAUAAAAGACUUGAUGGUGUUUAGUGAUUCUGAUUUACUUGUGCAUCAAACACUCAAGCAGUGGGUAAC